rnacentral:rRNA from 1 species
UACGUAGGGUGCGAGCGUUAAUCGGAAUUACUGGGCGUAAAGCGUGCGUAGGCGGUUCGCUGUGUCCGAUGUGAAAGCCCCGGGCUUAACCUGGGAAUGGCAUUGGAAACUGGCGGGCUUGAGUGCGGCAGAGGGGGGUGGAAUUCCGCGUGUAGCAGUGAAAUGCGUAGAGAUGCGGAGGAACACCGAUGGCGAAGGCGGCGACCUGGGUAGAUACUGACGCUGAGGUGCGAAAGCGUGGGGAGCAAACAGG